AAGGUAGCCGUACGAGAACGUGCGGCUGGAUCACCUCCUUUUUAAGGAGUAAACAUGCGCUUUAAGUAAACUUAAAGCGAGAUGUUAAUGGUCGAUUCUUGGAUUGUAAUGUUUGAAUCGAGUUCUGCGGGGCGUUUAUUUACGUGUUAUUAAGCUAUUUUAUGUGUCGGAGGCUAUAUCUUAAAGGGCGCGUGAGUUGUAUAAACGGGCCUAUAGCUCAGCUAGUCAGAGCGCACUCCUGAUAAGGGUGAGGUCUGUGGUGCAACUCCACAUAGGCCCACCAACUGAUGCAUAGUGUCG
rnacentral:tRNA from 1 species